GCAGGUAAACACAUAUUCACAAAGUGUGAAUAUUUGAUAUAUUAGGAAUAUCAACAAAAUAUGUACACGCCCUGUCCACAAGCAAAACAUUAAGGUAUAAAUACAGCAAAAAAUCAAGAUAGAAAAUCAGUCAAGCUGAAGACUUUACCUUAUCCUGCCUGACGACGCAAGACUGAGGUAAAAAUGGACUGUUGUUAUAAUUACAGUUGAUAUUUAUCUGUUAUGACAAUUUUUUCCCUUUUAGACAAUGAAGAUCCCUGUUGUGUUCCUGAUUGUUGCACUUGUAACUCUCACCAGUGCAGCUCCAACACAAAACAGUGCUUCUAAAAACAAAGAUGAGACUUCACAAGAAUUUAUCCACCAUAUCGUCAAUGCUUUCAAGAAGCUUUUUGGGGAUCAGGGUGAGGCUGUAAAUGACGAAGCCAGUCAAGAAUUUAUCCACCACAUUGUCAAUGCUUUCAAGAAGCUUUUUGGGGAUCAGGGUGAGGCUGUAAACGACGAAGCCAGUCAAGAAUUUAUCCACCAUAUUGUCAAUGCUUUCAAGAAGCUUUUUGGGGAUCAGGGUAAGGCUGUAAACGACGAAGCCAGUCAAGAAUUUAUCCACCACAUUGUCAAUGCUUUCAAGAAGCUUUUUGGGGAUCAGGGUGAGGCUGUAAACGACGUAGCCAGUCAAGAAUUUAUCCACCAUAUCGUCAAUGCUUUCAAGAAGCUUUUUGGGGAUCAGGGUGAGGCUGAAAAAGAUGAAGCCACCCAGAAGUUCCUUGGUUUAGCACUUGGUGCAAUUAAUGCUUUAUCACACCUUUUUGGGGAUCAGGGUGAGGCUGAAAAAGAUGAAGCCAGUCAAGAAUUUAUCCACCACAUUGUCAAUGCUUUCAAGAAGCUUUUUGGGGAUCAGGGUAAGGCUGUAAACGACGAAGCCAGUCAAGAAUUUAUCCACCACAUUGUCAAUGCUUUCAAGAAGCUUUUUGGGGAUCAGGGUGAGGCUGUAAACGACGUAGCCAGUCAAGAAUUUAUCCACCAUAUCGUCAAUGCUUUCAAGAAGCUUUUUGGGGAUCAGGGUGAGGCUGUAAACGACGAAGCCAGUCAAGAAUUUAUCCACCACAUUGUCAAUGCUUUCAAGAAGCUUUUUGGGGAUCAGGGUGAGGCUGAAAAAGAUGAAGCCACCCAGAAGUUCCUUGGUUUAGCACUUGGUGCAAUUAAUGCUUUAUCACACCUUUUUGGGGAUCAGGGUGAGGCUGAAAAAGAUGAAGCCAGUCAAGAAUUUAUCCACCAUAUUGUCAAUGCUUUCAAGAAGCUUUUUGGGGAUCAGGGUAAGGCUGUAAACGACGAAGCCAGUCAAGAAUUUAUCCACCAUAUCGUCAAUGCUUUCAAGAAGCUUUUUGGGGAUCAGGGUGAGGCUGUAAACGACGAAGCCAGUCAAGAAUUUAUCCACCAUAUCGUCAAUGCUUUCAAGAAGCUUUUUGGGGAUCAGGGUGAGGCUGUAAACGACGAAGCCAGUCAAGAAUUUAUCCACCACAUUGUCAAUGCUUUCAAGAAGCUUUUUGGGGAUCAGGGUGAGGCUGUAAAUGACGAAGCCAGUCAAGAAUUUAUCCACCAUAUUGUCAAUGCUUUCAAGAAGCUUUUUGGGGAUCAGGGUGAGGCUGUAAACGACGAAGCCAGUCAAGAAUUUAUCCACCAUAUUGUCAAUGCUUUCAAGAAGCUUUUUGGGGAUCAGGGUAAGGCUGUAAACGACGAAGCCAGUCAAGAAUUUAUCCACCACAUUGUCAAUGCUUUCAAGAAGCUUUUUGGGGAUCAGGGUGAGGCUGAAAAAGAUGUAGCCAGUCAAGAAUUUAUCCACCAUAUCGUCAAUGCUUUCAAGAAGCUUUUUGGGGAUCAGGGUGAGGCUGUAAACGACGUAGCCAGUCAAGAAUUUAUCCACCAUAUCGUCAAUGCUUUCAAGAAGCUUUUUGGGGAUCAGGGUGAGGCUGUAAACGACGAAGCCAGUCAAGAAUUUAUCCACCACAUUGUCAAUGCUUUCAAGAAGCUUUUUGGGGAUCAGGGUGAGGCUGUAAACGACGAAGCUAGUCAAGAAUUUAUCCACCAUAUUGUCAAUGCUUUCAAGAAGCUUUUUGGGGAUCAGGGUGAGGCUGAAAAAGAUGAAGCCAGUCAAGAAUUUAUCCACCAUAUUGUCAAUGCUUUCAAGAAGCUUUUUGGGGAUCAGGGUGAGGCUGUAAACGACGAAGCCAGUCAAGAAUUUAUUCACCACAUUGUCAAUGCUUUCAAGAAGCUUUUUGGGGAUCAGGGUAAGGCUGUAAACGACGAAGCCAGUCAAGAAUUUAUCCACCACAUUGUCAAUGCUUUCAAGAAGCUUUUUGGGGAUCAGGGUGAGGCUGAAAAAGAUGAAGCCAGUCAAGAAUUUAUCCACCACAUUGUCAAUGCUUUCAAGAAGCUUUUUGGGGAUCAGGGUGAGGCUGUAAACGACGUAGCCAGUCAAGAAUUUAUCCACCAUAUCGUCAAUGCUUUCAAGAAGCUUUUUGGGGAUCAGGGUGAGGCUGUAAACGACGAAGCCAGUCAAGAAUUUAUCCACCACAUUGUCAAUGCUUUCAAGAAGCUUUUUGGGGAUCAGGGUGAGGCUGUAAAUGACGUAGCCAGUCAAGAAUUUAUCCACCAUAUUGUCAAUGCUUUCAAGAAGCUUUUUGGGGAUCAGGGUGAGGCUGAAAAAGAUGAAGCCACCCAGAAGUUCCUUGGUUUAGCACUUGGUGCAAUUAAUGCUUUAUCACACCUUUUUGGGGAUCAGGGUGAGGCUGUAAACGACGAAGCCAGUCAAGAAUUUAUCCACCAUAUUGUCAAUGCUUUCAAGAAGCUUUUUGGGGAUCAGGGUGAGGCUGUAAACGACGAAGCCAGUCAAAAAUUUAUCCACCACAUUGUCAAUGCUUUCAAGAAGCUUUUUGGGGAUCAGGGUGAGGCUAUAAACGAUGAAGCCAGUCAAGAAUUUAUCCACCACAUCGUCAAUGCUUUCAAGAAGCUUUUUGGGGAUCAGGGUAAAGCUGUAAACGACGAAGCCAGUCAAGAAUUUAUCCACCAUAUUGUCAAUGCUUUCAAGAAGCUUUUUGGGGAUCAGGGUGAGGCUGAAAAAGAUGAAGCCAGUCAAGAAUUUAUCCACCACAUUGUCAAUGCUUUCAAGAAGCUUUUUGGGGAUCAGGGUGAGGCUGAAAAAGAUGAAGCUACCCAGAAGUUCCUUGGUUUAGCACUUGGUGCAAUUAAUGCUUUAUCACACCUUUUUGGGGAUCAGGGUGAGGCUGUAAACGACGAAGCCAGUCAAGAAUUUAUCCACCACAUUGUCAAUGCUUUCAAGAAGCUUUUUGGGGAUCAGGGUGAGGCUGUAAACGACGAAGCCAGUCAAGAAUUUAUCCACCACAUUGUCAAUGCUUUCAAGAAGCUUUUUGGGGAUCAGGGUGAGGCUGUAAACGACGAAGCCAGUCAAGAAUUUAUCCACCAUAUUGUCAAUGCUUUCAAAAAGCUUUUUGGUGAUGUUUGAAGGUCUUUGGUAACAGAGAUCACAAGGUCAACUCUUAAGAGAAAAUAACCAAUAGCUUGGAAUGUAUUGUACCAAUAUUCAGCUGCGAGUUCAAGGUUGGAACUUAGCAGUGGGGAAAUAAAAAAAUUUCAAAUGCAC
ensembl:lncRNA